GUGGGGAAUAUUGCACAAUGGGCGCAAGCCUGAUGCAGCAACGCCGCGUGCGGGAUGACGGCCUUCGGGUUGUAAACCGCUUUCACCCAUGACGAAGCGAAAGUGACGGUAGUGGGAGAAGAAGCACCGGCCAACUACGUGCCAGCAGCCGCGGUGAUACGUAGGGUGCGAGCGUUGUCCGGAAUUAUUGGGCGUAAAGAGCUUGUAGGCGGUUGAUUGCGUCGAAAGUGAAAUUCCAGGGCUUAACUCUGGGCUUGCUUUCGAUACGGGUCGACUUGAGGAAGGUAGGGGAGAAUGGAAUUCCCGGUGGAGCGGUGGAAUGCGCAGAUAUCGGGAGGAACACCAGUGGCGAAGGCGGUUCUCUGGACCUUUCCUGACGCUGAGAAGCGAAAGCGUGGGGAGCAAACAGGCUUAGAUACCCGGGUAGUCC
rnacentral:rRNA from 1 species